GGUUCAACCCAAACCGGUGGGAAAAUUAUAUUUCCAAACGGUUCGAACCGGUGCCCAAAGUAAUAAAAAAACCGCCUUAAUUCGUGAAAUACUCUUCUUCUUCCUUCAGUUUAUUUCAUUCCCUUGCUUUCCCCUUCAAUUAAUCUUCCUUCUCUCGUUCUCGCCUACCCUCACCAUUGAUCUCCUUCACGCAUAGGUCCGAAUUUUCACCAUAGUUGUCCUCCAUUGAAGCGCAUUCUGAGCUUUCUCACCUCCAUUGCCGCGCAACUCCUCUCUUUCUAGCUCUCCUCCAUUGAAGCGCAUUCUGUCGAGCUUUAUGACCUCCAUUGAAGCGCAUUCCGAGCUUUCCAACUCCAUUGUAGCAGCUUCGAGUUAUCAAGCUUAAAGAUUCGGGCACGAAGACCCCAUUCAUUGCUAAAGCUUGUAUCUUGCGGAAAGUGUCUCUCUUUCAGGUCACCAAGGUUCCCAGAUAAGAAUGUUGGUCAGUUUCCAAUGGCAUGUGUAGUGAGGAAAGCUGGUAGUAACUUAUCAGAGCAUGAAAGCAUGGAUUUUGUAGCAAAACAGAUUCAUAUGUGAAUUGAAGCACAAGUUUAGCUUGAAGACUACAAAUUUAGCUCAAUUGUGCAAAACAAUCUUUGCAAGGUUCGUGAAGGCAAAGUGAGGUAGUCUUGAUUUAUGCUUAGGAUUUCUUGAGUGUUUACUAGUUUUUGAUUUUGAAUGACUUUUUUUUCCUUUCUUCAUUGUUAGGUUGCUGUAAACCAUCUUCGGCAAAUUAAGGUAUCUUCCAUAUGAUUUUGCCAUAUGAAGUCGACUUGGUGAAUGAGCAUGUUGUUUAGGCAAGUGUGAUGUAUCUUCCUAAUCAUUACUUUGAUAUCAACUUCAGAAUGGUGUUGCUUGCUCUGCCAAAUAAUCUCAAAAGUAUCUUAUAAUGUGGUCUUGGCUGUGAUUCUCUUACUUUGCCUGCAUUUGAUAUCUUGUUUUUUUUCCCCUGCCUUACCCCUUGAAAAGGGAGAACGAUAGUAGGGUGGAAUAUAGCCAAAUCAGGUGUUCUUGACUUGAAAUGUGUUUCUUAAGGAGCCAUUGUUUUAUGGACAUGAUAUAUAACUAUUUAGUUCCUGCUACUUCUGCGCGGCUGCUGUUGUAUGUGCUGCUAGUUAAUGUAGUUGUAGCUACCUGCUGCUGUUGUUUGUGCUGCUAGUUUAUUUCCCUUCCAUUUUCUAGAACUCACAACUCGAUUCUUUUUUUUUUUUUUUUUGUGCGUAUCUCUUAGCGGCUUCUCAUUUAUUGUAAAUCUUCAUAUUAUUACAUAUAUGGGGUGUUUGAACAUAUUCAACAGUGUGUGUGAGAGAUGAAGAGAAAGGGGAAGAGAGGAUUUUUUUAUCGUCUUCCUGUUGACAUUGGUUCUACAUGUAUUUAAACCUUCCCCCCCCCCCCCCUUUUUUAACUGUAUUUUACAUGUGGUCAGUCAAGGGACAAAAUUAGUUCUCGAGGGAAGACACAAUGCUGAUGUAGGAUGAAUGUCUGAGCUGAGACUGAGAGGAAAUGCUCAGAUUUUACCAAGAGUAGUCCUUGAAGCAGUGCCCAAGGACCUGCUCAGAAACAAGAAACACAGGAACAAAGCUAUUGACCUGCUUAUAACAGAGUGCAAGUAAGCAUAUUAUUCUGAAUUUUGUUCUUUCUAAGAUAUAAUUUUCAGCUUAGGUUUUUGGUUUGGAAGAAAGUCAAAAUGAGUACAGGAAUUUGGAUGCUGAUUAUAGAUGUCGAAUCAGGUGUGUAAAUUUUGUUCUUUCUAAUAUAUAGUUUUCAAUAGCCAUCUGAUCUUGAAAUUUAUUUUCUCCCUUUGCAUUAUCUUGCUCCAACUUUCAUCCCUCUUUGAUGUUUACUUAGUUAAUUACUCGUUUUCAGGCUGUUCUGACUUCUGGUUUGUUCUGACUUUUGGGAUUCAUUGGUUUGUUCUGACUUCUGGGAUUCAUUCUCCUUUUUGUGAGCAACUGUACAUCGAUAUCUCAAGUUCUGAAUUUAAUUCAUAUUAUGAGGCAGAAGUUCAGUGACAUCUUAACUGUGUACAUCGGAUAUUGUAGCUUUGGAAAGUUUUUUUUCAUGUCUGAUGUAGAUGAGUAAAGGUCGCUGCACUCGACUAACGCUAUGAUCGGAAUGCUUCUAAUGCCAGCUUAAUUAGUCUUAGUCUGCCGGAGAGCCUUUUGCAUGUCCAUGUUGUUUGUGCUUAUGUAACAUUGUAUAUUAUUUAUUUUUUUGAUGAAAAUUGUAAUAUU